UGCGCCACUACCGCCGGAUUCUAUUCCGGAUCAGCGAGCCCACGACCCGGCCAAGGUGAAGGAGGAUUGGGAUGCUUAUCAUGAUUUGCGACUUAUCGCACAGCAGAGGUAUGAACAAGCAAGGCGUAGAUGCCUCGAAUUGAAAGGUACCGAGCGACCUACUAGGCGCGGCCGCAGUGGUACCAAGCCACAGAACCUCGUCCCAGAUAUUCGUCGGAGGGCCGUGAUCCGAUGGGAGAACGGCGUGCCUGUCGGGCCAUUUGCUAACUCUUUUAACAAUUUCCUCGCCUCUGUAGCCAGGAGACAUGAUUUCUUCAACAUAUAUUUGACGUGGAAGUCGCAGCGGAUUGAUGCGUUGGUGGCUUGUUGGCGAUAUAUAUGUCGAUUUUUCUUUCUUGACGAUUACGCUUGUGCCUGGACUUACUGCUUCACGCAAAUCAAUCUAUCGUUCAAGAGGUGGCGGUCAGAGCUGAAGAAAAAAUAUUUUACUCAAAGAACAGAAGAUUGGGAGCGUUACUGGCAUCUUGACGAGCGCGCCGAUGGAGUUGAUUUUUUUGCACUUUGCGAUUAUUGGGACACGGCCGAAGCUCAGGUAUUAUUGAAGUAUAUAUCUUC